AACGCACCUUGCGCCCUUUGGCUAUUCCGAAGGGCAUGCCUGUUUGAGUAUCAUGAACACCUCAACUCUCAUGGUUUGCCAUGAUGAGCUUGGACUUUGGGGGUCUUGCUGGCCUAUGGGUCAGCUCCUCUCAAAUGAAUCAGCUUGCCAGUGUUUGGUGGCAUCACAGGUGUGAUAACUAUCUACGCUUGUGGUUUUCCAUCAGGUAACCUUCAGUGAUGGAGGUUCGCUGGGGCUCAUAAAUGUCUCUCCUCGGUGAGGACAGCUUUUUGAACGUUUGAUCUCAAAUCAGGUAGGACUACCCGCUGAACUUAA
rnacentral:misc_RNA from 1 species